rnacentral:pre_miRNA from 1 species
UCCAGGUCUGGGGCAUGAACCUGGCAUACAAUGUAGAUUUCUGUGUUUGUUGGGCAACAGCUACAUUGUCUGCUGGGUUUCAGGCUACCUGGAA